GAGGGUAUAGCUCAGUGGGAGAGCAUGUGCUUAGCAUGCAUGAGGUCCUGGGUUCAAUCCCCAGUACCUCCA
rnacentral:tRNA from 1 species